UGCUGAAAAGGAAGCGAACGAAGCUAGUGAUCGCUGCGUCAUACUUUCCACAUUGCUUGCAAUUUGGACGCUGUGGCCGGCCGAGUUGGACUKGAUUGUAAGUUGUGGAAACAGGCAAAGAAAAGAUUWSAUUUUCUUUUGCCUCAUGCAUGAAUUGCAAUUGAGUUGAACAAAAUAGAUUUGUUUGCCCCGUCUAGAAACACGGACCAAGGAGUCUAACAUAUGUGCGAGUACUGGGGUGCACAACCUCGGUGCGGAAUGAAAGUGUCAGAGGCUAGAAUGAAUUUUGCAUUUGCACAGUCCGCCGGCCUCCAUCCCUCGGGAAAAUGGUCUGAGUGUGAGCAUACAUGUUGGGACCCGAAAGAUGGUGAACUAUGCUUGAGUAGGGUGAAGCCAGGGGAAACUUUGGUGAAGGCUCGCAGCGAUUCUGACGUGCAAAUCGAUCGUCAAACUUGAGUAUAGGGGCGAAAGACUAAUCGAACUAUCUAGUAGCUGGUUCCCUCCG
rnacentral:rRNA from 1 species